rnacentral:rRNA from 1 species
GACGAACGCUGGCGGCGUGCUUAACACAUGCAAGUCGAACGGAAAGGCCCUGCUUUUGUGGGGUGCUCGAGUGGCGAACGGGUGAGUAACACGUGAGUAACCUGCCCUUGACUUUGGGAUAACUUCAGGAAACUGGGGCUCAUACCGGAUAGGAGCUCCUGCUGCAUGGUGGGGGUUGGAAAGUUUCGGCGGUUGGGGGUGGACUCGCGGCUUAUCAGCUUGUUGGUGGGGUAGUGGCUUACCAAGGCUUUGACGGGUAGCGGGCCUGAGAGGGUGACCGGCCACAUUGGGACUGAGAUACGGCCCAGACUCCUACGGGAGGCAGCAGUGGGGAAUAUUACACAAUGGGCGGAAGCCUGAUGCAGCAACGCCGCGUGCGGGAUGACGGCCUUCGGGUUGUAAACCGCUUUCGCCUGUGACGAAGCGUGAGUGACGGUAAUGGGUAAAGAAGCACCGGCUAACUACGUG